rnacentral:rRNA from 1 species
GACGAACGCUGGCGGCGUGCUUAACACAUGCAAGUCGAACGGAAAGGCCCUGCUUUUGCGGGGUGCUCGAGUGGCGAACGGGUGAGUAACACGUGAGUAACCUGCCCUAGACUUUGGGAUAACUUCAGGAAACUGGGGCUAAUACCGGAUAGGAGCUCCUGCUGCAUGGUGGGGGUUGGAAAGUUUCGGCGGUUGGGGAUGGACUCGCGGCUUAUCAGCUUGUUGGUGGGGUAGUGGCUUACCAAGGCUUUGACGGGUAGCCGGCCUGAGAGGGUGACCGGCCACAUUGGGACUGAGAUACGGCCCAGACUCCUACGGGAGGCAGCAGUGGGGAAUAUUGCACAAUGGGCGGAAGCCUGAUGCAGCAACGCCGCGUGCGGGAUGACGGCCUUCGGGUUGUAAACCGCUUUCGCCUGUGACGAAGCGUGAGUGACGGUAAUGGGUAAAGAAGCACCGGCUAACUACGUG